GCGAAUUUUACAUUCAAAUUGGCAGGAGCAUUACCUGCUAUGGACUGAAUAUCGGCAGACCAUCCCUAAUACUCCGACGUGACUUAAGUAGAUUAUCCUGCUGAGGUACGAAGCUCGGUGAAGACGGCGAAAAGCAGACCUGUGAAGUGGUUAGCGAAGUAGUCGGGGGGCUAUAAA
rfam:Sporomusa sp. An4 isolate Sporomusa ovata strain An4 genome assembly, contig: SPAN4DRAFT_scaffold-2